rnacentral:rRNA from 1 species
GGGUUGUGAGGUUAAGCGACUAAGCGUACACGGUGGAUGCCCUGGCAGUCAGAGGCGAUGAAGGACGUGCUAAUCUGCGAUAAGCGUCGGUAAGGUGAUAUGAACCGUUAUAACCGGCGAUUUCCGAAUGGGGAAACCCAGUGUGUUUCGACACACUAUCAUUAACUGAAUCCAUAGGUUAAUGAGGCGAACCGGGGGAACUGAAACAUCUAAGUACCCCGAGGAAAAGAAAUCAACCGAGAUUCCCCCAGUAGCGGCGAGCGAACGGGGAGGAGCCCAGAGCCUGAAUCAGUGUGUGUGUUAGUGGAAGCGUCUGGAAAGGCGCGCGAUACAGGGUGACAGCCCCGUACACAAAAAUGCACAUGCUGUGAGCUCGAUGAGUAGGGCGGGACACGUGGUAUCCUGUCUGAAUAUGGGGGGACCAUCCUCCAAGGCUAAAUACUCCUGACUGACCGAUAGUGAACCAGUACCGUGAGGGAAAGGCGAAAAGAACCCCGGCGAGGGGAGUGAAAAAGAACCUGAAACCGUGUACGUACAAGCAGUGGGAGCACGCUUAGGCGUGUGACUGCGUACCUUUUGUAUAAUGGGUCAGCGACUUAUAUUCUGUAGCAAGGUUAACCGAAUAGGGGAGCCGAAGGGAAACCGAGUCUUAACUGGGCGUUAAGUUGCAGGGUAUAGACCCGAAACCCGGUGAUCUAGCCAUGGGCAGGUUGAAGGUUGGGUAACACUAACUGGAGGACCGAACCGACUAAUGUUGAAAAAUUAGCGGAUGACUUGUGGCUGGGGGUGAAAGGCCAAUCAAACCGGGAGAUAGCUGGUUCUCCCCGAAAGCUAUUUAGGUAGCGCCUCGUGAAUUCAUCUCCGGGGGUAGAGCACUGUUUCGGCAAGGGGGUCAUCCCGACUUACCAACCCGAUGCAAACUGCGAAUACCGGAGAAUGUUAUCACGGGAGACACACGGCGGGUGCUAACGUCCGUCGUGAAGAGGGAAACAACCCAGACCGCCAGCUAAGGUCCCAAAGUCAUGGUUAAGUGGGAAACGAUGUGGGAAGGCCCAGACAGCCAGGAUGUUGGCUUAGAAGCAGCCAUCAUUUAAAGAAAGCGUAAUAGCUCACUGGUCGAGUCGGCCUGCGCGGAAGAUGUAACGGGGCUAAACCAUGCACCGAAGCUGCGGCAGCGACGCUUAUGCGUUGUUGGGUAGGGGAGCGUUCUGUAAGCCUGUGAAGGUGUACUGUGAGGUAUGCUGGAGGUAUCAGAAGUGCGAAUGCUGACAUAAGUAACGAUAAAGCGGGUGAAAAGCCCGCUCGCCGGAAGACCAAGGGUUCCUGUCCAACGUUAAUCGGGGCAGGGUGAGUCGACCCCUAAGGCGAGGCCGAAAGGCGUAGUCGAUGGGAAACAGGUUAAUAUUCCUGUACUUGGUGUUACUGCGAAGGGGGGACGGAGAAGGCUAUGUUGGCCGGGCGACGGUUGUCCCGGUUUAAGCGUGUAGGCUGGUUUUCCAGGCAAAUCCGGAAAAUCAAGGCUGAGGCGUGAUGACGAGGCACUACGGUGCUGAAGCAACAAAUGCCCUGCUUCCAGGAAAAGCCUCUAAGCAUCAGGUAACAUCAAAUCGUACCCCAAACCGACACAGGUGGUCAGGUAGAGAAUACCAAGGCGCUUGAGAGAACUCGGGUGAAGGAACUAGGCAAAAUGGUGCCGUAACUUCGGGAGAAGGCACGCUGAUAUGUAGGUGAAGUCCCUUGCGGAUGGAGCUGAAAUCAGUCGAAGAUACCAGCUGGCUGCAACUGUUUAUUAAAAACACAGCACUGUGCAAACACGAAAGUGGACGUAUACGGUGUGACGCCUGCCCGGUGCCGGAAGGUUAAUUGAUGGGGUCAGCGCAAGCGAAGCUCUUGAUCGAAGCCCCGGUAAACGGCGGCCGUAACUAUAACGGUCCUAAGGUAGCGAAAUUCCUUGUCGGGUAAGUUCCGACCUGCACGAAUGGCGUAAUGAUGGCCAGGCUGUCUCCACCCGAGACUCAGUGAAAUUGAACUCGCUGUGAAGAUGCAGUGUACCCGCGGCAAGACGGAAAGACCCCGUGAACCUUUACUAUAGCUUGACACUGAACAUUGAGCCUUGAUGUGUAGGAUAGGUGGGAGGCUUGGAAGUGUGGACGCCAGUCUGCAUGGAGCCGACCUUGAAAUACCACCCUUUAAUGUUUGAUGUUCUAACGUUGACCCGUAAUCCGGGUUGCGGACAGUGUCUGGUGGGUAGUUUGACUGGGGCGGUCUCCUCCUAAAGAGUAACGGAGGAGCACGAAGGUUGGCUAAUCCUGGUCGGACAUCAGGAGGUUAGUGCAAUGGCAUAAGCCAGCUUGACUGCGAGCGUGACGGCGCGAGCAGGUGCGAAAGCAGGUCAUAGUGAUCCGGUGGUUCUGAAUGGAAGGGCCAUCGCUCAACGGAUAAAAGGUACUCCGGGGAUAACAGGCUGAUACCGCCCAAGAGUUCAUAUCGACGGCGGUGUUUGGCACCUCGAUGUCGGCUCAUCACAUCCUGGGGCUGAAGUAGGUCCCAAGGGUAUGGCUGUUCGCCAUUUAAAGUGGUACGCGAGCUGGGUUUAGAACGUCGUGAGACAGUUCGGUCCCUAUCUGCCGUGGGCGCUGGAGAACUGAGGGGGGCUGCUCCUAGUACGAGAGGACCGGAGUGGACGCAUCACUGGUGUUCGGGUUGUCAUGCCAAUGGCACUGCCCGGUAGCUAAAUGCGGAAGAGAUAAGUGCUGAAAGCAUCUAAGCACGAAACUUGCCCCGAGAUGAGUUCUCCCUGACUCCUUGAGAGUCCUGAAGGAACGUUGAAGACGACGACGUUGAUAGGCCGGGUGUGUAAGCGCAGCGAUGCGUUGAGCUAACCGGUACUAAUGAACCGUGAGGCUUAACCUUACAACGCCGAAGGUGUUU